rnacentral:pre_miRNA from 1 species
CACGUACUCCCUCCGUUCGAAAUUACUUGUCUCGAAAAUGGAUGUAUCUAGAACUAAAAUACAUCUAGAUACACCCAUUUCUGCGACAAGUAAUUCCGAACGGAGGGAGUAGCAU